UUAGAAGAAGGCUGACUAUUCCUAUGGGAGAGACCACACAGAAACUAAAAAUACUUGGAAGAGGAGAGGGGCUCAGUUGAGCCCAACCUUCCAGCCAACUCCAGCAGGGUGGCAAGUAUGAGAGUGAGGAUAUCUUGGAGCCUCAGCAACCUGUGCUAUCCAAUAGCUAUCAGCCACAUGUGACUACUGAGCACUCAAAAUGUGGAGCAUCCUGCAUGAUUCUAUAGCACUCAACAGGUGUCUGCCAAGCGGACAGACUACAGACCCCUCUGGCCGCAUGAUGCUGAGCUUCCCCUUGGACACAUGAAGAUUAAGUUAGUCAAGCAUGGAGAUUCCUCCCUCUCCUUCACAAACUCCAGAUGUUUGGCAUCUCCCCAAUAUCCUAAGACCUCCUGGACUGGGAACAAAAUGAGCGUAGUGAAAGAGGAAGCAGCUUUAGAGAAAGCACCACAGGGAACAAACCAAUAAAAAAGCAGGAAACUCAGCACAAGCCUGAUUUAUGUCACUGCACUUCUCUACUCUCAGCCCCAUUCCCCCAAACUCCCAGCAAGCACACAAGCACACACAGGCACACACAUGCACAUGCGCACACACACAUGCACAUACACAACACACACACACACACAUGCCUUCUGCCAGCAGCUCUCUUUCUCACUCUCACUUUUCUUUUCAAAUGCUGGCAUUUGAAAAAAUCCCCUAUUUUGUUUCACCCUCCUUUUCUGCCUCCCUAAAGAGCUUCCGAAGAGGAGUUUUGAUGGUGCAUCUGAGUGUUAAUAGAUUCGGGAGUGUGAAGCUGUUGCCUGAAUCUCAUUCCCUGAGAGUGCCUUUCUCUUUUUAAUAGCUGAGAAAGAAUUGAUCAAGCCUCUGUUUUAGUCUCUGUUUCUAAACAGAAAGAAAGAAAGAAAAAGGAAGGAAGGAAACAAGGAAGGAAGGACAUACAACGUAAAAACAAAAACAUUUUUACGACGAUCCCUUUUUCAACAGCUAGGGGCAAUCCAGUGUGUUCAGUUGUGUUAGUUCUGUGUCUGUCAGGAGAAAAAGCCAUGUAGAAGUGAUGAUUUAGUUUUCUUGGUGGGAACACAAGGGAAGCUAGUUGAAAGCAAUGGUUGUGGGGUCUUGAAUGGACAGGCAAGUCCGGUAGUCAGAAGAAGAUUUUGAUUAGAAACAGAGGAAUUUCUUCCAGGAAAAUACAUUGUCUUCAUGACAAACCAAAAAUACACCAAAUGUUCUGAAAACUGCCCUUUAAAAAGAAAGAACAGAUUGUUCAAUUGAAACACUUUCCUGAAGCCAAUUGUUGCAGGCUGCCAGCCACCUUCAGUACCAGCCACCCCUCCGUCCUCCCCAGGGCCGGUAUAAGGGGUGCAUGAGAGACACGUGCAUGCAGAAGACUCCACCAUGAUGCCUGGCUCCCAUUGCACUGUCCCAGAGCGGCGUAGUGGCAGCUGGGGUUAGUGCUAUCUGUCAUGAAAGGGCAUUCUACUCCGGUUGGCAGAGAACACUCACACACGGGGAAGCUGAGCCAUCAGUGCAGGAGUUAAUUCCCGUUUGCAAUAAUACUAAGGAUGUCGCAUUCAUAUAUACUCAAUGAGCACUAAAGGAAUCAUAGGAAUAUGCUCUCACAGGAGAUAAUGUAGCCACAGUAGAUAAAGGAGGAUGUCCUGGAAGAAGGGGAACCUUUUUUAAGCCAAGGGAGAAAACCACUGAAAAGUAAAUCUUUGCAUGUAGCUGUGCAGCUCUGCAGAUCUAAAAUCUGUGCUUUUUAAAAGUAUACUCUGUGGAGUAGCAGUCCACAUCAAAAGGUCACAGUUUAAAAGUUUUGUAUUGUGCUUGGGUUAUCCCUUAAGAUGUUAGUUAUAUCAUCACAAAAGAACAAGAGUAAACUGUAAUUUACUAUUUUUGGAGUAUUUUUUUGUUGUUAGGCAUUUGAAGGAUGAGGUGCACAGUGCCCAAGAGUAUGUCACAGCGGCAAUUUCCACUUUAUGCAGAAUUAAUACUCAAUUACUUAUCUGCUUACCUGGACCUUGAGUGAAUAAUAGAUUCCUAAUAAAGGGUUUUUGAGCAAAUGGACAAAUUGGAUGCAUUUAUGUUAUAGCAGCCACAACAGCAAAAGAAAAUCAAACACUUACAAAACAGAAGUCAAUCAAGUUUUAACUAGAGGAGACACCAAAGUAUCAUACAGUGGAGGAAAAAUUCAAAUGUUCUGCGCCAAGCUCCUAUCAUGCCAAUUGUACAUGUUUGUGCGUAUGUAGGGUAGCUAGGGUUGGAUGUGUAAUCAUCCCUAAAAUUCAUUUGGUGAAGAAAAAUACAUUUUAUUUGAAAUCAUUGUCUAUUUUUAUUCCUGCCAAUAUUUUGUAUAACAUAGAAGUCUGCCCCAGAGUGUAAAUAAAUAAUGAGGAAGGUCACAGAUCUAAAUAUACUAUCUUGGUUCAAUAAUAAAAAGAGAAUUUUUUCCUCGUAAGAU
rnacentral:lncRNA from 10 species